rnacentral:rRNA from 1 species
AUUGAACGCUGGCGGCAUGCUUUACACAUGCAAGUCGAACGAGUGGCGAACGGGUGAGUAAUAUAUCGGAACGUACCGAGUAAUGGGGGAUAACCAAUCGAAAGAUUGGCUAAUACCGCAUAUUAUUCGCGCGGCCGAUAACUGAUUGGCUAGUUGGUGGGGUAAAGGCCUACCAAGGCGACGAUCAGUAGCGGGUCUGAGAGGACGAUCCGCAAUACUGGGACGUAGACGCGGCCCAGAUUGCAACGUGAGGCGGCAGAGGGAAGUUUUUGAGGAUGGUGGGAACCGUGACCCAGCCGUGACGCGUGGAUGAAGAAGGCCUUCGGGUGGUAAAGUAGUUGUGUUAUGCAAGCGGUACCUAAAGGAUAUGCUCCAGCUAACGACGUGCCAGCAGCCGCGGUAAUAC